rnacentral:ncRNA from 1 species
CCACAGGGGAGCUUCGGCUGAGAAAGGCGCAAAGCCGCCUGACCCUCUAACCUGAUCUGGGUAAUGCCAGCGUAGGGAGAUG